AAUGGACGGAAGGACUUAAUUUGUGACCAAAAAAAAUUACAGGGCCUAGAUAGUCUAUUUUCUAAAAUACAGGGACCUAAGUGUUAAUAGUGGUAAAAUUUAGGGAUUAAAUAGUAAAUUGCCCUUUAUUAUUUCUGACUGUGAUGGCUACAUUGCAUGCUAGUUAUUUUUUGGAGUAAAGUUAAAUGCAACCUUUCCUUUUAACACAUGUAUUCCUCUCAGUAAAAGUACAAUGUGGGGUUUGAAAGUGAUAAUUUUAUCGAAG
rnacentral:misc_RNA from 1 species